AUUGAACGCUGGCGGCAGGCCUAACACAUGCAAGUCGAGCGAGUGGCGGACGGGUGAGUAAUGUAUGGGAAACUGCCUGAUGGAGGGGGAUAACUACUGGAAACGGUUGCUAAUACCGCAUACUAUCGGAUGUGCCUAUAUGGGAUUAGCUAGUAGGUGGGGUAAAGGCUCACCUAGGCGACGAUCCCUAACUGGUCUGAGAGGAUGAGCAGCGAAACUGGAGCGGGAACACGACCCAGACUCCUACGUGAGGCAGCAGUGGGGAGUAUUGCACAAUGGGCGCAAGCCUGAUGCAGCCAUGCCGCGUGUAUGACGAAGGCCUUCGGGUUGUAAAGUACUUUCAGCGGGGAGGCGUUACCCGCAGAAGAAGCACCGGCUAACCCCGUGCCAGCAGCCGCGGUAAUUC
rnacentral:rRNA from 1 species